GACAGGGGGAGGCAUACAAGCAUUUUGGAAUGGUGGUUCUUGAUAUUGAUGUUGUGAAGGGCGGAAUCUUUCCAAAAACAGUUACUUAAGAUCUUCCCAAUUGGUGAUGGAUCCACAAGGAAGACAAAACCGCCAAUACCUUGCCGCUCCAGCUAACGAGUAUUCAAAUGCCCUUAAGAACAUGUCAUCAACCGAGACAUCUGGAGGUUUCAUUGAAGAGCAGAUGGUGUAGAACACCUUCAAAUGUCUAUAUGGGCAUUCACCUGCAAAACCAUGAAACCUAGACAGCAAAUCUAUCACACCAAUGUUGGAAACACAACGAAUAUCCUCCUUAUCAAUUGGAAACGGCUCCCUAGGAGCACUCUCAUGAGAUGGAGGAGGAACCGUUCUGUUCUCAACAUAGAAAUCAACAGAUUAUAUAUGACAAGCAAUAUCAGAGUAACAAGCAGGAGGAGAAUCAAAGUCAUGGACAUAGGCAGAAGAAACAGUAUUCACAUAACCAAAAUAGGUAGACAUGUAGAAAGAGGGGGAAAAAGAAGAAUGUAAUGAAAAUAUGCAACUAAAGCUACCCAAAUGCAACACACAAUGAAGAACACACAAAACAGAACAUCACACUCACAACACAAGACAAGACAACACACACUAACACAACAAAAGACCUAAAAUCGAAUCGUUGGUCCCCGGCAACGGCGCCAAAAUUUAUUGGGUUUCACGGCCCAUACAAAGUUGAUUGCAUAUGAGAAAUGCAGUAUAGCUAGGGAAUGACCCCUAGGUCGUCUCCCAAAGACCAACUGUGGUUCAGAAUGAAGUCAAACACGAAGGUGGGGGGGGGGGGGGGGGGGNUUGUGAAAGGUUUGCGUGGUGAAUGUGGAAAAAUUAAAAUGAAAUUAAAACAGUAAAAACGAAAGUGCUACAGUAAAUACGUAAAUUCACGCUGGAACUGGACAACUCUGAUGUUUG
rnacentral:lncRNA from 1 species